AUUGAACGCUGGCGGCAGGCUUAACACAUGCAAGUCGAGCGGGGGAAGGUAGCUUGCUACCGGACCUAGCGGCGGACGGGUGAGUAAUGCUUAGGAAUCUGCCUAUUAGUGGGGGACAACAUCUCGAAAGGGACGCUAAUACCGCAUACGUCCUACGGGAGAAAGCAGGGGAUCUUCGGACCUUGCGCUAAUAGAUGAGACUAAGUCGGAUUAGCUAGUUGGUGGGGUAAAGGCCUACCAAGGCGACGAUCUGUAGCGGGUCUGAGAGGAUGAUCCGCCACACUGGGACUGAGACACGGCCCAGACCCCUACGGGAGGCAGCAGUGGGGAAUAUUGGACAAUGGGGGGAACCCUGAUCCAGCCAUGCCGCGUGUGUGAAGAAGGCCUUAUGGUUGUAAAGCACUUUAAGCGAGGAGGAGGCUACUGAGACUAAUACUCUUGGAUAGUGGACGUUACUCGCAGAAUAAGCACCGGCUAACUCUGUGCCAGCCGCCGCCGUAA
rnacentral:rRNA from 1 species